AUGUCCUUCGACCUUGAAAGUUGCGAAAACUCCGAAUCGUCUGGGUGCUCCAUCGAAGACAAACUGCCCUCAAAAAAUUGUCUUAUUCGAGGCAAAGACAGCGUCUACGCAGUUGGCAAAAAAGUUGCCCAGGGCAGGUAUGGAGCCGUUUAUGAGGUGCUCCGAAGGUCAGACGGUAAGCCGUUUGCAUGUAAAUUGGAAAUUUGUGAAGCCCACUCACACGGCCUGGAUCAGGAUUAUAGUGUGAUGACGAAAGCUGCAAAACGGGGCGCGGAAAACCUUGUCAGAAUGAUUGAUCGUGGCAAAAUCGAAGAGCAUUUCAAGUUCAUAAUUAUGCCUCUGGUAAGUGUGCCUGCCUGCCUUCAUGUCUUACCUGUGCCUACCACCAAGCAAGUUGUUCUAAAAUUCUUAAUGAUAGCAAAUAAAAUGAAACAAUGUCUAGAAUAGGCGGUAGGCGUAAGUAGGCAGACAUAGGCAGGCGCUAAAUUCAGCUCGGUGAGAACCUGAUGAACCUACGCUUCCUCUUCGAAGAUGGCCGCUUUUCCCUAUCCACUGGUCUUCGUCUUGCACUUUUCGCAAUUCAACCGAUUCAAUCGCUGCAUCAAUUGGGAUAUGUGCACAGAGAUAUUAAAGCCUCGAACUUUUGUAUCGCGGACCCACAAAUGCUUCAUCAAAAUCCAGAAGCACUGAAAUUGUGUCUAAUCGACUAUGGAAUUUGCCGAUCAUUUAAAGAUAAAAGUGGCGAGUUGAAGACUCCGAGGACCGAUAUAAAGUUUCGUGGAACUAAUCGAUACGCGUCCCUUGCUGCACAUUACGGAGAUGAACAAUCAGCGAAGGAUGAUAUGGAGUCAUGGUUUUAUAUGAUGAUUGAACUGAUAUCAGGAAACCUCCCAUGGUCAUUUAUGCAUCGUGAUCAACAUAAAGAGGUUGCAUCAAUGAAAGAAGCAUGUAGAACUACUGAUGGAUCUCUGAUAAUGAUGAAGUUUUGUCCAAGAGUGAGUUGUCAGGUCGAUCCAGCUUAGGCUUAGGUUUAGGUGUUGGCUUAGGCUUUGGCUUGGGCUUAGGCAUAGGCUAAAGCUUAGGCUUAGUGUUUGGCUUAGGUUUAGGCUUAGGCUUAGGCUUUGGCUUAGGCUUAGGCUUAGGCUUCUGCUUGGACUUAGGCUUAUGCUCAUGUUUAGACCUAGGCUUAGGCUCAGGCUAUGGCGUAGGCUCAAGCUUCAUCUUAGGUUUAGGCUUAGGCUUACGAUUAGGAUUAGGGUUAGACUUAGACUUAGUCUUAGGCUUAGAUUUAGGUUUAGGCUUAGGCUUAGGAUUAGGCUUUGACUUAGGCUUAGGCUUAGGCUUAUGCUUAGGCUUAAGCUUAGGCUUAGACAUAAGGUUUGGCAUAGGCCUAGGCCUAGGAGGGGUAGGAAAACUGGAAAAAAAACUUAUUGAAAAUGUCACAAUGUCAAAAAAAAGCAGAAAAACCCUGUGCCCAGAAACUAGAAACAAGCCAUAUCUUGGAGCAUCGUAGAGCUCUUUUUCAAUACACCUAUCAAUUCAAAUGUUCAGGUGGAAUUCCAUCGCAUACAGGCGUACCUGAUGGGUUUGAAGUAUCAAAACACAGUGGACUACACAUUUAUAUCCGAGAUGGUACAGCUCGCAAUGCGGAACAAUGGCGUGAGGAUGAAUGAAAAAUUUGAUUGGCAGGAAGAUUAA